GAUGAACGCGGCGGCGUGCCUAACACAUGCAAGUCGAACGGAGAUUACGGACGGAAGUUUUCGGAUGGAAGACUGUAAUUCUUAGUGGCGGACGGGUGAGUAACGCGUGGGCAACCUGCCCUAUACAGGGGGAUAGCAGCUGGAAACGGCUGGUAAGACCGCAUAAGUCGGCGGAACCGCAUGGUUUUGUCGGGAAAUGAGCAAUCAGGUAUAGGAUGGGCCCGCGUCCGAUUAGCCAGUCGGCAGGGUAAAAGCCUACCAAAGCGACGAUCGGUAGCCGGACUGAGAGGCCGGACGGCCACAUUGGGACUGAGACACGGCCCAAACUCCUACGGGAGGCAGCAGUGGGGGAUAUUGCACAAUGGAGGAAACUCUGAUGCAGCGACGCCCGCGUGAGUGAAAGAAAGUAUUUUCGGUAAUGUAAAAGCUCUA
rnacentral:rRNA from 1 species